GACGAACGCUGGCGGCGUGCUUAACACAUGCAAGUCGAACGGAAAGGCCCUGCUUUUGUGGGGUGCUCGAGUGGCGAACGGGUGAGUAACACGUGAGUAACCUGCCCUUGACUUUGGGAUAACUUCAGGAAACUGGGGCUAAUACCGGAUAGGAGCUCCUGCUGCAUGGUGGGGGUUGAAAAGUUUCGGCGGUUGGGGAUGGACUCGCGGCUUAUCAGCUUGUUGGUGGGGUAGUGGCUUACCAAGGCUUUGACGGGUAGCCGGCCUGAGAGGGUGACCGGCCACAUUGGGACUGAGAUACGGCCCAGACUCCUACGGGAGGCAGCAGUGGGGAAUAUUGCACAAUGGGCGGAAGCCUGAUGCAGCAACGCCGCGUGCGGGAUGACGGCCUUCGGGUUGUAAACCGCUUUCGCCUGUGACGAAGCGUGAGUGACGGUAAUGGGUAAAGAAGCACCGGCUAACUACGUGCCAGCAGUCGCGGUGAUACGUAGGGUGCGAGCGUUGUCCGGAUUUAUUGGGCGUAAAGGGCUCGUAGGUGGUUGAUCGCGUCGGAAGUGUAAUCUUGGGGCUUAACCCUGAGCGUGCUUUCGAUACGGGUUGACUUGAGGAAGGUAGGGGAGAAUGGAAUUCCUGGUGGAGCGGUGGAAUGCGCAGAUAUCAGGAGGAACACCAGUGGCGAAGGCGGUUCUCUGGGCCUUUCCUGACGCUGAGGAGCGAAAGCGUGGGGAGCGAACAGGCUUAGAUACCCUGGUAGUCCACGCUGUAAACGGUGGGUACUAGGUGUGGGGUCCAUUCCACGGGUUCCGUGCCGUAGCUAACGCUUUAAGUACCCCGCCUGGGGAGUACGGCCGCAAGGCUAAAACUCAAAGGAAUUGACGGGGCCCCGCACAAGCGGCGGAGCAUGCGGAUUAAUUCGAUGCAACGCGUAGAACCUUACCUGGGUUUGACAUGGAUCGGGAGUGCUCAGAGAUGGGUGUGCCUCUUUUGGGGUCGGUUCACAGGUGGUGCAUGGCUGUCGUCAGCUCGUGUCGUGAGAUGUUGGGUUAAGUCCCGCAACGAGCGCAACCCUUGUUCACUGUUGCCAGCACGUUAUGGUGGGGACUCAGUGGAGACCGCCGGGGUCAACUCGGAGGAAGGUGGGGAUGACGUCAAGUCAUCAUGCCCCUUAUGUCCAGGGCUUCACGCAUGCUACAAUGGCUGGUACAGAGAGUGGCGAGCCUGUGAGGGUGAGCGAAUCUCGGAAAGCCGGUCUCAGUUCGGAUUGGGGUCUGCAACUCGACCUCAUGAAGUCGGAGUCGCUAGUAAUCGCAGAUCAGCAACGCUGCGGUGAAUACGUUCCCGGG
rnacentral:rRNA from 1 species